rnacentral:rRNA from 1 species
CAGCAGCACGGGAAUACGAAGGGUGCAAGCGUUAAUCGGAAUUACUGGGCGUAAAGCGUGCGUAGGCGGUUUGUUAAGUCUGCUGUGAAAUCCCCGGGCUCAACCUGGGAAUGGCAGUGGAUACUGGCAAGCUAGAGUGUGUCAGAGGAUGGUGGAAUUCCCGGUGUAGCGGUGAAAUGCGUAGAGAUCGGGAGGAACAUCAGUGGCGAAGGCGGCCAUCUGGGACAACACUGACGCUGAGGCACGAAAGCGUGGGGAGCAAACAGGAUUAGAUACCCCAGUAGUCCCUGUCUCUUAUACA